GGUGAUAAGAGGGCUGGGGCACCUCUCCUAGGUGCAGGAGAGCACCUGGGGCAGGCUGAAAGACGGGGAAUCUUCAGCCUGGAUAAAAGAAAGCUCUGGGAAAAUGUUAUAGCAGCCUUCUGGAACCUGAAGGGAGCCUACAGGAAAGUCGGGAAGGGAUUUUUAUAAGGGCAUGCAGUUACAGGACAAGGGAAAAUGGUUUUAAACUGGAAGAGGGUAGAUUUAGAUUAGAUAUCAGGAAUGAAUUCUUUACUGCAAGGGUGGUGAGAUGCUGGAACAAGUUGCCCUGUUUUCUAAUUCAGGACCAUGUUGCUGGAAAAGCAGAAGUGAUUUUUCUGCUUUAGAUCAAUGUGAAUGCUGUAUGCUGCUUAACCUCCUUGUUCGUUUAGGAUUCAGGCCAUAGUUAAGGCAGUCUGAAAUGUUUUUGCAGCUAGCUAGUCCAUGAAGUACAGCACGUUUGGCCUAUUUUUGGAGUUUUUUGUUUGAGGCAGAGAUGUUUUCGACAGUUGCAUAAUGGACAGGACUUCUUUUUUUAAAAUCCUCCUUGUGUGCCAGCAUCUGGUUACUGCAAUCUCGCUGCUAAUCAGCCUGUAGGUUUCAGAAACUUUCCUUUUAUUUAUUUUAUUUUUUUGCCUGUCAUGUUCCCUGUUUUUGGAGGUGGGGAGAGGUGAGGCCCUCAAAACUGGCAGUAGCACAAAGCUGCUGUUUGCAUUUUUUUAGAGCCCUCUGGCCCCAAGCAGUACAGCUGACAGAGGCCUGCUACAUUUGCAUCUUGCAUUUUGCUGGCACUUUUCAAGUUAUUUUUGUCACCCUCUAAAUACCCUCUUUGCCCCCACUGUAUUCUAGAGGGUGUGUAAGAGAAGCAGCACCAAGGGAUGAAAUGAUAUCAGACCAUCUUAGAUGGCUUUCUGUGGAAAGCAUUGGGACUGUGUCCCUUUGGUACAGGGAAGGAAAAUUUUUUAUUUGGAUAAGGCUUCAGAGAAUUUAAAAUGCUAGAGCUUUGGGAGAGUCUAUUUCACGUUUUCAUUUUGAUUAAAUUUAGAAUUGUUCAUUUUUUCUGUCAAAAUGUAUAUUUUUAGGCAAUGAAUUUGAUAUGCUGAGGAGAUGCAGAUCACUUCACUUUCUGUGAUUCUUACAAUGAAGGGUCAGGAGAAGGCAAGACUUGGUAGCUGGCCAUACAGGGAAGUCCUGGCUUGUCUGGCACUGCAAUAUUCCAUCCAUCUGCCCGGGAUUUCUGUCUGUGUUCAGCUCAGAUAAGCAAUGUGAUUGUGUUGAUUUCUGUCUGUAUCAGAGGGGAUUGCACUGGGCGGGUAUUUUGUAUUGUGCAUUGCUGCUGGUUUGUUUUCUUUUCAGUUGCUCUUUCAGAAGAUCUGAGCUCAGGAUAAACAUCCACUCUGUGCUGCUGAGUACUGUGCUUGGAGCCUUCAUACUCAAGGAACAAGAUUGCUCUGUGAACAGACUCCUUCAUUCUGUGAGUAACAGGACCUCUGGAUGUGACUGCAGUGAUCCCAGCUGGCACAGAAACUGCUAUGAUGCUAAGAUGUGCCUUACUACGUGUUGCACCGUGCAAUAACUUGGAAACUCUUGUGACAUCUGACAAGGGACUUCACAGUGCCUGAUGGAACCUGUUGCAUGCUCCCUCACAUUCUGCUCUGGCAACGGUAACACCAUUCAUCCUCCAGCUGGUGGGGCUGGGAGGAAGUCCAGGUUUAUUGCUCUUUCCUGGGGGGACUGGAAGGUUCAGGAAAUUAUGGGAUUUAGAGAUUCUUAACUUCUGAGACAUUUGCUUCAACUGCUCGUAACCGAGAAAUUCAAUGUGCCGCAUUCAUAUUUCCAAUGGUUUGACCAGUCAUUUGAGCUUUGCAAACUCACGCUCUUGGCUCUAAGCACUGGAUAUUUUAAAGCAGGCUCAUAAUGAGUGAUAGGAAGUUACCUUUUCCAGGUGACACUCUAGACACUUUUUGCCUAUGUACUUAGUUUAAAUUUACCAAGCAAGUAAGCAAUAAAAUAAGGUCCAUAGAGGUAUAUAAAACCAGAGUUGCUUGGAUUUACUGCCAAGAGAUGCAUGAUGAGUAUGAUUAAGAGGCACUUUAUGCUGACUUUCUAAUAAUUCUCUGCUAAAAUAUGUACUUCAGACAGUUUUGUCAGCUUUAUUGUUACUUUCUAAUUUUGGUCUAAAGAUUUUUUUCAGAUACGAUUUUUCCCUUUAGGGAUUAUAGGAUGCGUAAAUUUUUGAUGAUGAGAGAGUUCCUGUGAUUCAUUCCAGGACUCCAGUGUUUAAGAUGAAGCUCCUCACCAGUGUCUGUAGGAAGUGUUGUUUUUUACUCACUCUGAAUUCUUUUCUUGAAUCUUCAAGUCUUCAGUUUUUUUUAAUAUUAUUUAUCAUAUAGAAAAAAAAUCCUUUAUGUUUGAGACCAGGGGUCUGUAUCCUAGUGUGAAUAAAGGAAGUGUUAUUCUUUUCAUUAUUGGAAAGAAAUGGAGCUGAAUUCAUAUGAUUUUGCUCGUAUUACCACUGAGUUCAGACUGUGAUUGUGCUGAAAGAAUGUAGAAACUGAUGUCAUCUUUGGAA